rnacentral:rRNA from 1 species
GAUGAACGCUGGCGGCGUGCCUAAUACAUGCAAGUCGAGCGAACAGACGAGGAGCUUGCUCCUCUGACGUUAGCGGCGGACGGGUGAGUAACACGUGGAUAACCUACCUAUAAGACUGGGAUAACUUCGGGAAACCGGAGCUAAUACCGGAUAAUAUAUUGAACCGCAUGGUUCAAUAGUGAAAGACGGUUUUGCUGUCACUUAUAGAUGGAUCCGCGCCGCAUUAGCUAGUUGGUAAGGUAACGGCUUACCAAGGCAACGAUGCGUAGCCGACCUGAGAGGGGGAACGGCCACACUGGAACUGAGACACGGGCCAGACUCCUACGGGAGGCAGCAGGAGGGAAUCUUCCGCAAUGGGCGAAAGCCUGACGGAGCAACGCCGCGUGAGGGAUGAAGGGCUUCGGAUCGGAAAACUCUGUUAUUAGGGAAGAACAAAUGUGUAAGUAACUAUGCACGUCUUGACGGUACCUAAUCAGAAAGCCACGGCUAACUACGUGC